GACGAACGCUGGCGGCGUGCCUAAUACAUGCAAGUUGAGCGAUGAAGAUUGGUGCUUGCACCAAUUUGAAGAGCAGCGAACGGGUGAGUAACGCGUGGGGAAUCUGCCUUUGAGCGGGGGACAACAUUUGGAAACGAAUGCUAAUACCGCAUAACAACUUUAAACAUAAGUUUUAAGUUUGAAAGAUGCAAUUGCAUCACUCAAAGAUGAUCCCGCGUUGUAUUAGCUAGUUGGUGUGGUAAAGGCUCACCAAGGCGAUGAUACAUAGCCGACCUGAGAGGGUGAUCGGCCACAUUGGGACUGAGACACGGCCCAAACUCCUACGGGAGGCAGCAGUAGGGAAUCUUCGGCAAUGGACGAAAGUCUGACCGAGCAACGCCGCGUGAGUGAAGAAGGUUUUCGGAUCGUAAAACUCUGUUGGUAGAGAAGAACGUUGGUGAGAGUGGAAAGCUCAUCAAGUGACGGUAACUACCCAGAAAGGGACGGCUAACUACGUG
rnacentral:rRNA from 1 species